UCCCCUAGUAACUGCGAGUGAAGCGGGAAAAGCUCAAAUUUGAAAUCUGGCAGUUUUUGACUGUCCGAGUUGUAAUCUAGAGAAGUGUUACCUGUGCUGGACCGUGUAAAAGUCUCCUGGAAUGGGGCAUCAUAGAGGGUGAGAAUCCCGUCUUUGACACGGACUACCUGUACAUUAUGGUGUGCUCUCAAAGAGUCGAGUUGUUUGGGAAUGCAGCUCAAAAUGGGUGGUAAAUGCCAUCUAAAGCUAAAUAUUGGCGAGAGACCGAUAGCGAACAAGUACCGUGAGGGAAAGAUGAAAAGAACUUUGGAAAGAGAGUUAAACAGUACGUGAAAUUGCUGAAAGGGAAACGCUUGAAGUCAGUCACGUUGACUAGAAAUCAGCCUUUGCUUUUGCUUGGUGUACUUUCUGGUUGACGGGUCAGCAUCAAUUUUGAUCACUGGAUAAAGUCUUUGGGAAUGUGGCAUCUUUUGGAUGUGUUAUAGCCCAUUGUCGCAUGCAGUGGUUGGGAUUGAGGAACUCAGCACGCCGCAAGGCCAGGUUUCGACCAUGUUCGUGCUUAGGAUGCUGGCAUAAUGGCUUUAAUCGACCCGUCUUGAAACACGGACCAAGGAGUCUAACAUGCCUGCGAGUGUUUGGGUGGAAAACCCAUGCGCGCAAUGAAAGUGAAAGUUGAGAUCCCUUUUAGGGGGGAGCAUUGACGCCCGGACCAGACCUUCUGUGACGGAUCCGCGGUAGAGCAUGUAUGUUG
rnacentral:rRNA from 1 species